GACGAACGCUGGCGGCGUGCUUAACACAUGCAAGUCGAACGGUAAGGCCCUUCGGGGUACACGAGUGGCGAACGGGUGAGUAACACGUGGGUGAUCUGCCCUGCACUUCGGGAUAAGCCUGGGAAACUGGGUCUAAUACCGGAUAGGACCACUGCCUGCAUGGGUGGUGGUGGAAAGCUUUUGCGGUGUGGGAUGGGCCCGCGGCCUAUCAGCUUGUUGGUGGGGUGAUGGCCUACCAAGGCGACGACGGGUAGCCCGCCUGAGAGGGUGACCGGCCACACUGGGACUGGGAUACGGCCCAGACUCCUACGGGAGGCAGCAGUGGGGAAUAUUGCACAAUGGGCGCAAGCCUGAUGCAGCGACGCCGCGUGAGGGAUGACGGCCUUCGGGUUGUAAACCUCUUUCAGCACCGACGAAGCGUAAGUGACGGUAGGUGCAGAAGAAGGACCGGCCAACUACGUGCCAGCCGCCGCGGUAA
rnacentral:rRNA from 1 species